rnacentral:rRNA from 1 species
GACGUAGGGCGCGAGCGUUGUCCGGAUUUAUUGGGCGUAAAGAGCUCGUAGGCGGCUCGUUGCGUCGGCUGUGAAAACCCGCAGCUCAACUGUGGGCUUGCAGCUGAUACGGGCGGGCUUGGAUUCGGUAGGGGAGACUGGAAUUCCUGGUGUAGCGGUGAAAUGCGCAGAUAUCAGGAGGAACACCGGUGGCGAAGGCGGGUCUCUGGACGGUUACUGACGCUGAGGCACGAAAGCGUGGGGGAGCAAACAGG